ensembl:lncRNA
UAGGGGGAGACAGAGCGCUGUGUUUGUGAGCGAUCGCUCCUGCUCUCUCAGCACCGUUUUCUUUUCUAGGCCCUUGCCUCCUAAACUGGUCCACACUCUCUGUCAUCAGCACCACUGAGUCACCGCAGUUCGCUUUGAAUUAUCCCGCCGCAUGAAAAGAACAAGAAAGCUAUUUCCUGAUGUUUCCCUGUUCCUUUUCCUAGCACUCUUUGUUUGGAGGCACAAUGAGCUGAGGAGGCCUGUGUGGCAUCGAUCUUAUAUACAACACAACAUUUCCGGGAGUGAGGAGUCCCACGCUGCCAGAGACGGAGUCAGACAUUCUUUUUGUCAACAUGUGUUUACAUAAAGUAAAGAGCAAAGGAGACUCUCAGAGUUAAUGAAA